AUUGAACGCUGGCGGCAGGCCUAACACAUGCAAGGCGAGCGGUAACACAGGGAGCUUGCUCCUGGGUGACGAGCGGCGGACGGGUGAGUAAUGUCUGGGAAACUGCCUGAUGGAGGGGGAUAACUACUGGAAACGGUAGCUAAUACCGCAUAACGUCGCAAGACCAAAGAGGGGGAGCUUCGGGCCUCUUGCCAUCAGAUGUGCCCAGAUGGGAUUAGCUAGUAGGUGGGGUAACGGCUCACCUAGGCGACGAUCCCUAGCUGGUCUGAGAGGAUGACCAGCCACACUGGAACUGAGACACGGUCCAGACUCCUACGGGAGGCAGCAGUGGGGAAUAUUGCACAAUGGGCGCAAGCCUGAUGCAGCCAUGCCGCGUGUAUGAAGAAGGCCUUAGGGUUGUAAAGUACUUUCAGCGGGGAGGAAGGCGUUGAGGUUAAUAACCUCAGCGAUUGACGUUACCCGCAGAAGAAGCACCGGCUAACUCCGUGCCAGCAGCCGCGGUAA
rnacentral:rRNA from 1 species